rnacentral:lncRNA from 1 species
CAGUAGCUCAAAAGUAUAUUCCUAAAAAUUUUUUUUCGAUAACUAAGAUCGACUAAUUAUAAAUUAUGAUACAUAAAUGGUGCUCUCCAGGAGGCACCUUCUCUUGAUGCUAAAGUUCUAAGUUUGAUCAUGGAGUAUAACCACUCUAUCUCAAACAAAUAAAUAAAUAAAUAUAAUAUUGAUUUUUGAGGUCAAAAAUAUGAUUUAUUGCUCA